rnacentral:snoRNA from 1 species
UAGAAUGAUGACAAGUUGUCGCCCCAAGCGGAUCGACCAAUCUAGAUUGAAAUGACUGAUCAAAGCAACAUUAGCCAAACACUGAAAAUUCUGAUC